ACUGCGAUAGGGGACAUCGAGUGGCACCCACCAUGGGUGUCUGUCCAACCGUCUAAAAAACGGUUGUUAGCAAGGGCCGGGUAAGACCGGUGCCAGCCGCCGCGGUAAUACCGGCGGCUCGAGUGGUGGCCGAUAUUAUUGAGUCUAAAGGGUCCGUAGCUGGCUUUGCAAGUCCCCUGGGAAAUCCAGCGGCUUAACCGUUGGGCUUCCAUGGGAUACUACAUUGCUUGGGACUGGGAGAGGUAGGAGGUACUCAGGGGGUAGGGG
rnacentral:rRNA from 1 species